UACGUAGGGUGCAAGCGUUAAUCGGAAUUACUGGGCGUAAAGCGUGCGCAGGCGGUGAUGUAAGCCAGAUGUGAAAUCCCCGGGCUCAACCUGGGAACUGCAUUUGUGACUGCAUCGCUGGAGUGCGGCAGAGGGGGAUGGAAUUCCGCGUGUAGCAGUGAAAUGCGUAGAUAUGCGGAGGAACACCGAUGGCGAAGGCAAUCCCCUGGGCCUGCACUGACGCUCAUGCACGAAAGCGUGGGGAGCAAACAGG
rnacentral:rRNA from 1 species